AUGUUGCCGUUGCUUAAUCAUGGAAGACUGGUGAUAUGUUGUUGAUUGAUGAAAGUUUUAAGUAUUUCAUAAUUUAAAGCUUCAUCAAAACAAUGAUAUUACGAACAACUUAUCGCAUUCUUCCAUGUAUGCAAUAGGUUGAACUUC
rnacentral:pre_miRNA from 1 species